rnacentral:rRNA from 1 species
GAUGAACGCUGGCGGCGUGCCUAAUACAUGCAAGUCGAGCGAAUGGAUUAAGAGCUUGCUCUUAUGAAGUUAGCGGCGGACGGGUGAGUAACACGUGGGUAACCUGCCCAUAAGACUGGGAUAACUCCGGGAAACCGGUGCUAAUACCGGAUAACAUUUUGAACCGCAUGGUUCGAAAUUGAAAGGCGGCUUCGGCUGUCACUUAUGGAUGGACCCGCGUCGCAUUAGCUAGUUGGUGAGGUAACGGCUCACCAAGGCAACGAUGCGUAGCCGCCCUGGGAGGGUGAUCGGCCACACUGGGACGGAGACACGGCCCAGACUCCUACGGGAGGUAGCAGUAGGGAAUCUUCCGCAAUGGACGAAAGUCUGACGGAGCAACGCCGCGUGAGUGAUGAAGGCUUUCGGGUCGUAAAACUCUGUUGUUAGGGAAGAACAAGUGCUAGUUGAAUAAGCUGGCACCUUGACGGUACCUAACCAGAAAGCCACGGCUAACUACGUGCCAGCCGCCGCAGUAA